GAUGAACGCUGGCGGCGUGCUUAACACAUGCAAGUCGAACGAUGAAGCCCAGCUUGCUGGGUGGAUUAGUGGCGAACGGGUGAGUAACACGUGAGUAACCUGCCCUUGACUCUGGGAUAAGCCUGGGAAACUGGGUCUAAUACUGGAUAUGACUUCUCAUCGCAUGGUGGGGGGUGGAAAGAUUUAUUGGUCUUGGAUGGACUCGCGGCCUAUCAGCUUGUUGGUGCGGUAAUGGCUCACCAAGGCGACGACGGGUAGCCGGCCUGAGAGGGUGACCGGCCACACUGGGACUGAGACACGGCCCAGACUCCUACGGGAGGCAGCAGUGGGGAAUAUUGCACAAUGGGCGCAAGCCUGAUGCAGCGACGCCGCGUGAGGGAUGACGGCCUUCGGGUUGUAAACCUCUUUCAGUAGGGAAGAAGCGAGAGUGACGGUACCUGCAGAAGAAGCGCCGGCUAACUACGUG
rnacentral:rRNA from 1 species